CAAUAGCGUAUAUUUAAGUUGUUGCAGUUAAAAAGCUCGUAGUUGGAUUUCGGUUAAGAGCGACCGGUCCGCCGUUUGGUGUGCACUGGUUGGUUUUAACUUCCUGUAGAGGACGUGCUCUGGGUUUAACGACCUGGACUCGGAGUCUACGUGGUUACUUUGAAAAAAUUAGAGUGUUCAAAGCGGGCUUACGCUUGAAUAUUUCGGCAUGGAAUAACACUAUAGGACUCCUGUCCUAUUUCGUUGGUCUCGGGACGGGAGUAAUGAUUAAGAGGAACAGUUGGGGGCAUUCGUAUUUCAUUGUCAGAGGUGAAAUUCUUGGAUUUAUGAAAGACGAACUUCUGCGAAAGCAUUUGCCAAGGAUGUUUUCAUUAA
rnacentral:rRNA from 1 species